CCUACGGGAGGCUGCAGUGGGGGAUAUUGCACAAUGGGGGAAACCCUGAUGCAGCGACGCCGCGUGUGGGAAGACGGUCCUCUGGAUUGUAAACCACUGUCUCCAGGGACGAAGAUGACGGUACCUGGGGAGGAAGCUCCGGCUAACUACGUGCCAGCAGCAGCGGUAAUACGCAGGGAGCGAGCGUUGUCCGGAAUUACUGGGUGAAAGGGGAACGUAGGCGGGAGUGCAAGUUGGGUGUCAAAUCUACCGGCUCAACCGGUAGCCGCACUCAAAACUGCAGUUCUUGAGUGAAGUAGAGGCAGGCGGAAUUCCUGGUGUAGCGGUGAAAUGCAUAGAGAUUAGGAAGAACACCAAUGGCGAAGGCGGCCUGCUAGGCUUUUACUGACGCUGAGGCUCGAAAGUGUGGGGAGCAAACAGGAUUAGAUACCCUGGUAGUC
rnacentral:rRNA from 1 species